GUGCUCACUUUGGCGGCACAUAUACUAAAAUUGGAAUGAUGCAGAGAUUAGCAUGGCCCCUGCACAAGGAUGACAUGCAAAUUUGUGAAGCAUUCUACAUUUAA
rnacentral:snRNA from 1 species